GAUGAACGCUGGCGGCGUGCCUAAUACAUGCAAGUCGAGCGAACGGACGAGAAGCUUGCUUUUCUGAUGUUAGCGGCGGACGGGUGAGUAACACGUGGAUAACCUACCUAUAAGACUGGGAUAACUUCGGGAAACCGGAGCUAAUACCGGAUAAUAUUUUGAACCGCAUGGUUCAAAAGUGAAAGACGGUCUUGCUGUCACUUAUAGAUGGAUCCGCGCUGCAUUAGCUAGUUGGUAAGGUAACGGCUUACCAAGGCAACGAUGCAUAGCCGACCUGAGAGGGUGAUCGGCCACACUGGAACUGAGACACGGUCCAGACUCCUACGGGAGGCAGCAGUAGGGAAUCUUCCGCAAUGGGCGAAAGCCCGACGGAGCAACGCCGCGUGAGUGAUGAAGGUCUUCGGAUCGUAAAACUCUGUUAUUAGGGAAGAACAUAUGUGUAAGUAACUGUGCACAUCUUGACGGUACCUAAUCAGAAAGCCACGGCUAACUACGUGCCAGCAGCCGCGGUAAUACGUAGGUGGCAAGCGUUAUCCGGAAUUAUUGGGCGUAAAGCGCGCGUAGGCGGUUUUUUAAGUCUGAUGUGAAAGCCCACGGCUCAACCGUGGAGGGUCAUUGGAAACUGGAAAACUUGAGUGCAGAAGAGGAAAGUGGAAUUCCAUGUGUAGCGGUGAAAUGCGCAGAGAUGUGGAGGAACACCAGUGGCGAAGGCGACUUUCUGGUCUGUAACUGACGCUGAUGUGCGAAAGCGUGGGGAUCAAACAGGAUUAGAUACCCUGGUAGUCCACGCCGUAAACGAUGAGUGCUAAGUGUUAGGGGGUUUCCGCCCCUUAGUGCUGCAGCUAACGCAUUAAGCACUCCGCCUGGGGAGUACGACCGCAAGGUUGAAACUCAAAGGAAUUGACGGGGGCCCGCACAAGCGGUGGAGCAUGUGGUUUAAUUCGAAGCAACGCGAAGAACCUUACCAAAUCUUGACAUCCUUUGACAACUCUAGAGAUAGAGCCUUCCCCUUCGGGGGACAAAGUGACAGGUGGUGCAUGGUUGUCGUCAGCUCGUGUCGUGAGAUGUUGGGUUAAGUCCCGCAACGAGCGCAACCCUUAAGCUUAGUUGCCAUCAUUAAGUUGGGCACUCUAAGUUGACUGCCGGUGACAAACCGGAGGAAGGUGGGGAUGACGUCAAAUCAUCAUGCCCCUUAUGAUUUGGGCUACACGCGUGCUACAAUGGACAAUACAAAGGGCAGCGAAACCGCGAGGUCAAGCAAAUCCCAUAAAGUUGUUCUCAGUUCGGAUUGUAGUCUGCAACUCGACUACAUGAAGCUGGAAUCGCUAGUAAUCGUAGAUCAGCAUGCUACGGUGAAUACGUUCCCGGGUCU
rnacentral:rRNA from 1 species